GUACAGGAAAGUCCCAGAAGCGUGAGGUGCGAUGACGACAAUAUUAACGCCUAAGUUCCACAUGAUUCAGUGCUGGGUUCCUUGGGCAUGUUUCAUGGCUCUGGGCAAUUGGAUGGGAGGGUGAGAGGCACGAGCCGGUGAAGCGGGAAAAGGGGCCGAGGUACGAGCUGGGGAAGGGGGGCAGAGGUACAAGCAGUCAGGGCUGGGAAAGGUUGGGAAUGGCUGAGCAUCAGUGCUUCAAGUCCAUUUUUGGUGGAUGGGAGCCUUAGCAGCUGAAAAAUCUGUAGCAGAUGAGGAAGCGGAGGGGAGACAGAAGUUGUGUACAAACUGUACAGUAUAAAUAUUUAUAUUCUGUGUAUAUACUGUGCCCUGUGUCAUGUAUGUGUAAUAAACAGACUGCCCUAACAA